ACGGGAGGCAGCAGUGGGGAAUAUUGGACAAUGGGGGCAACCCUGAUCCAGCGACGCCGCGUGAGCGAUGAAGUAUUUCGGUAUGUAAAGCUCUAUCAGCAGGGAAGAUAAUGACGGUACCUGACUAAGAAGCACCGGCUAAAUACGUGCCAGCAGCCGCGGUAAUACGUAUGGUGCAAGCGUUAUCCGGAUUUACUGGGUGUAAAGGGAGCGUAGGCGGUUUUAUAAGUCUGAAGUGAAAGCCCGGGGCUCAACCCCGGGACUGCUUUGGAAACUGUAGAACUAGAGUGUCGGAGGGGUAAGUGGAAUUCCUAGUGUAGCGGUGAAAUGCGUAGAUAUUAGGAGGAACACCAGUGGCGAAGGCGGCUUACUGGACGAUUACUGACGCUGAGGCUCGAAAGCGUGGGGAGCAAACAGGAUUAGAUACCCUGGUA
rnacentral:rRNA from 1 species